rnacentral:rRNA from 2 species
ACUCAAAGGAGACUGCCAGUGAUAAACUGGAGGAAGGUGGGGAUGACGUCAAGUCAUCAUGGCCCUUACGACCAGGGCUACACACGUGCUACAAUGGCAUAUACAAAGAGAAGCGACCUCGCGAGAGCAAGCGGACCUCAUAAAGUAUGUCGUAGUCCGGAUUGGAGUCUGCAACUCGACUCCAUGAAGUCGGAAUCGCUAGUAAUCGUAGAUCAGAAUGCUACGGUGAAUACGUUCCCGGGCCUUGUACACACCGCCCGUCACACCAUGGGAGUGGGUUGCAAAAGAAGUAGGUAGCUUAACCUUCGGGAGGGCGCUUACCACUUUGUGAUUCAUGACUGGGGUGAAGUCGUAACAAGGUAACCGUAGGGGAACCUGCGGUUGGAUCACCUCCUUACCUUAAAGAA